CUGCCGAUAGCAAGAUUUGCAUGCGCCAUAAAAAUUAUUGAAGUUUUCGGGGAAGAUGAAAAAGAAGUAAAACCCAGAAACGGUGCCGAAGGCGGCCAUUCCCCAUACGAUACAUUUCAUUGCAACAUUCAUUAUAGUUGCAACACGAUAUGCGAAAACAAUGUUGGUGCAGAAGCGACGGCCCAGAUAGGGAUCUUCAAUUUUUCUCUCCUGUCUGAGUUUUCAGGUGCUCUAUCGUAGAGAUGGAGGAACAGAAAUAAAAGCAUGAGUAGGACAUACACCGAAACGACGAAUGCAAAUGUCCAAGGAUCAUCUAACGAUCGAACGGCUGAGAUGGCUGUAUUGAUAGGUAGAAAACAGAUGGCUAAUAUGGACAUGACGGAGAAGGCACCUGAAUAGGGUUUGGGUGGGGGUUCUUUGGUCGCCGGGGGAAACUAUUUUACGGUGUCCGACAUUAUGACGGCUGAAAUGUAUGCAGGAGG